AUUCAGUGCCAGAUUCUUCUUUGCCUUCAUGACGGACUUUGCAGUGUUUUUCCUUGGAAUGAUUUCCCAGAUUCGACCCAGCUUUGUCCUGACUUCUCCACCUCAUCUCUGCCCUGAUCAUCAGAGUGACCUGAUGAUGCUUUGUUUGAGGUUUUCCUUAUCAAAACAGCAGGCUUUCUGUCUGUCAUCGUGUCAUCUGCCACCGACAGAGAAGAGAGCAUUGGAGAGGAAGAAUAAGAACCUGGCCAGGAGUGGGCCAGCUGUAGUUGAUUGGAGGCACACAGCUUUUUACCGCUCUAGCCUUUGUUGCUCCUAUUUUUCUAAGUUUCUAAGUUACAUUCUGAGUUAUAGUUACUACUUACUAAAGUUUUUGUUUUCUCUUUCAA